CCUACGGGAGGCAGCAGUGAGGAAUAUUGGUCAAUGGACGCAAGUCUGAACCAGCCAUGCCGCGUGCAGGAAGACGGCUCUAUGAGUUGUAAACUGCUUUUGUACGAGGGUAAAUCCCGAUACGUGUAUCGGGUUGAAAGUAUCGUACGAAUAAGGAUCGGCUAACUCCGUGCCAGCAGCCGCGGUAAUACGGAGGAUUCAAGCGUUAUCCGGAUUUAUUGGGUUUAAAGGGUGCGCAGGCGGUCUGUUAAGUCAGCGGUCAAAGCCCGGGGCUCAACCCCGGCCCGCCGUUGAAACUGGCAGUCUCGAGUUGGAGAGAAGUAUGCGGAAUGCGCGGUGUAGCGGUGAAAUGCAUAGAUAUCACGCAGAACUCCGAUUGCGAAGGCAGCAUACCGGCGCGCAACUGACGCUCAUGCACGAAAGCGUGGGUAUCGAACAGGAUUAGAUACCCUGGUAGUC
rnacentral:rRNA from 1 species